GAUGAACGCUAGCGGCAGGCUUAAUACAUGCAAGUCGAGGGGCAGCAGGACUGUAGCAAUACAGUUGCUGGCGACCGGCAAACGGGUGCGGAACACGUACGCAACCUUCCAUUAUGUGAGGAAUAGCCCAGGGAAACUUGGAAUAAUACCUUGUAAUAUCUGAUAGUGGCAUCACUCUUUAGUUAUAGCUCAGGCGCUUAAACAUGGGCGUGCGACUGAUUAGGUAGUUGGCGGGGUAACGGCCCACCAGGCAUACGAACAGUAACCGGUGUGGGAGCACGACCAGUCACACGGGCACUGAGACACGGGCCCGACUCCUACGGGAGGCAGCAGUAAGGAAUAUUGGUCAAUGGAAGCAAGUCUGAACCAGCCAUGCCGCGUGGAGGAUGAAGGUCCUCUGGAUUGUAAACUUCUUUUAUCUGGGAAGAAACCCAUAUUUUCUAGUGUGGUUGACGGUACCAGAUGAAUAAGCACCGGCUAACUCCGUGCCAGCAGCCGCCGUAAAAC
rnacentral:rRNA from 1 species